AUCUGGUUGAUCCUGCCAGAGGCGACCGCUUUUGGAGUUCGAUUAAGCCAUGCGAGUAGAAUGAAUUAGAUUCAUUGCAAACUGCUCAGUAACACGUGGAUAACCUGCCCUAUGCUCUGGAAUAACCUCGGGAAACUGAGAAUAAUACCGGAUAGAUCACAACGCCUGGAACGGUGUGUGGUUCAAAGAUUACGGCAUAGGAUGGGUCUGCGGCGUAUCAGGUCGUAGGGGGUGUAAUGGACCCCCUAGCCAUCGACGCGUACGGGUGUUGGGAGACAUAGCCCGGAGACGGAUUCUGAGACACGAAUCCGGACCCUACGGGGUGCAGCAGGCGCGAAAACUUCACACUGCAGGAAACUGUGAUGAGGGAACUCCAAGUGGAUGCACAUAGUGUAUCUCUUUUCUUUACUAUUAAUCGGUAUUGGAAUAAGGGCUGGGAAAGACCGGUGCCAGCCGCCGCGGUAAUACCGGCAGCUCGAGUGGUCGUCGCUUUUAUUGGGCCUAAAACGUCCGUAGCCGGUUUGGUAAAUCUGUGGGUAAAUCAACUAGCUUAACUAGUUGAAUUCUGCAGAGACUGCCAGACUAGGAACCGGGAGAGGUGUGGGGUAC
rnacentral:rRNA from 1 species